GAUGAACGCUGGCGGCGUGCCUAAUACAUGCAAGUCGAGCGAACAGACGAGGAGCUUGCUCCUCUGACGUUAGCGGCGGACGUGUGAGUAACACGUGGAUAACCUACCUAUCAGACUGGGAUAACUUCGGGAAACCGGAGCUAAUACCGGAUAAUAUCUUGAACCGCAUGGUUCAAUAGUGAAAGACGGUUGUGCUGUCACUUAUAGAUGGAUCCCCGCCGCAUUAGAUGGUUGGUAAGGUAACGGCUUACCAAGGCAACGAUGCGUAGGCGACCGGAGAGGGUGAUAGGCGACAUGGGAAGGGGGACAGGGUCCAGACUACUACGAGAGGCAGCAGAAGGGAAUGUGCCGCAAUGGGCGAAAGUAUGACGGAGCAACGCCGCGUGAGUGACGAAGGUCUUCGGAUCGUAAAACUCUGUUACUAGGGAAGAACAAAUGUGUAAGUAACUAUGCCCGUCUUGACGGUACCUAAUCAGAAAGCCACGGCUAACUACGUG
rnacentral:rRNA from 1 species